rnacentral:rRNA from 1 species
UACUCUUGACAUCCUGCGAACUUUCGAGAGAUCGAUUGGUGCCUUCGGGAACGCAGAGACAGGUGCUGCAUGGCUGUCGUCAGCUCGUGUUGUGAAAUGUUGGGUUAAGUCCCGUAACGAGCGCAACCCUUGUCCUUAGUUGCCAUCAUUUAGUUGGGGACUCUAAGGAGACUGCCGGUGACAAACCGGAGGAAGGUGGGGACGACGUCAAGUCAUCAUGGCCCUUACGAGUUGGGCUACACACGUGCUACAAUGGCCGGUACAGAGGGCUGCAAACCUGCGAAGGUAAGCUAAUCUCACAAAACCGGUCGUAGUCCGGAUUGGAGUCUGCAACUCGACUCCAUGAAGUCGGAAUCGCUAGUAAUCGUGGAUCAGAAUGCCACGGUGAAUACGUUCCCGGGCCU